rnacentral:rRNA from 1 species
UACGUAGGUGACAAGCGUUGUCCGGAUUUACUGGGCGUAAAGAGCGCGCAGGCGGUCGAUCAAGUCGAGUGUGAAAGCCCCCGGCUCAACUGGGGAGGGUCAUUCGAUACUGAUCGACUCGAAGGCAGGAGAGGGUAGUGGAAUUCCCGGUGUAGUGGUGAAAUGCGUAGAUAUCUGGAGGAACGCCGGAGGCGAAAGCGGCGCACUGGAUCUCUUCUGACGCUGAGGCGCGAAAGCCAGGGGAGCAAACGGG